UACGUAGGGGGCUAGCGUUGUCCGGAAUCAUUGGGCGUAAAGCGCGUGUAGGCGGCCCGGUAAGUCCGCUGUGAAAGUCGGGGGCUCAACCCUCGGAUGCCGGUGGAUACUGUCGGGCUAGAGUACGGAAGAGGCGAGUGGAAUUCCUGGUGUAGCGGUGAAAUGCGCAGAUAUCAGGAGGAACACCAAUUGCGAAGGCAGCUCGCUGGGACGUCAGCUGACGCUGAGACGCGAAAGCGUGGGAGCAAACAGG
rnacentral:rRNA from 1 species